rnacentral:piRNA from 1 species
UAUAAUGGCACACUAGAGAUGCACUCAAUG